rnacentral:rRNA from 1 species
UACGGAGGGUGCAAGCGUUAUCCGGAUUCACUGGGUUUAAAGGGUGCGUAGGCGGGCAGGUAAGUCAGUGGUGAAAUCUCCGAGCUUAACUUGGAAACUGCCGUUGAUACUAUCUGUCUUGAAUGUUGUGGAGGUGAGCGGAAUAUGUCAUGUAGCGGUGAAAUGCUUAGAUAUGACAUAGAACACCAAUUGCGAAGGCAGCUCACUACACAAAUAUUGACGCUGAGGCACGAAAGCGUGGGGAUCAAACAGG